rnacentral:rRNA from 1 species
AUAUAUAUAUACAUCAUAUUGAACACACCGCUUCCUGUCCUAUCACUGCAGUAAAGCAAUGUCGAGCCUAGUUAGUACUUAGACAGGUGACUGCUCGGCAAAUCUAGGUGCUGGAAACA